rnacentral:rRNA from 1 species
UACGAAGGGGGCUAGCGUUGCUCGGAAUUACUGGGCGUAAAGCGCACGUAGGCGGAUAUUUAAGUCAGGGGUGAAAUCCCGGGGCUCAACCCCGGAACUGCCUUUGAUACUGCAAAUCUCGAGUCCGGAAGAGGUGAGUGGAAUUCCUAGUGUAGAGGUGAAAUUCGUAGAUAUUAGGAAGAACAUCAGUGGCGAAGGCGGCUCACUGGUCCGGUACUGACGCUGAGGUGCGAAAGCGUGGGGAGCAAACAGG